rnacentral:tRNA from 1 species
GAGGGUAUAGCUCAUUGGUAGAGUGCAUACCUAGCAUGCAUGAGGUCCUGGAAUAAAUCCCCAGUACCUCCA